UGGGGAAUAUUGCGCAAUGGGCGAAAGCCUGACGCAGCGACGCCGCGUGGGGGAUGAAGGCCUUCGGGUUGUAAACCUCUUCGGCAGGGACGAAGUUGACGUGUACCUGCGGAAGAAGCGCCGGCUAACUACGUGCCAGCAGCCGCGGUAAUACGUAGGGCGCGAGCGUUGUCCGGAAUUAUUGGGCGUAAAGAGCUCGUAGGCGGCUGGUCGCGUCUGCCGUGAAAGCCCGCGGCUUAACCGUGGGUCUGCGGUGGAUACGGGCCGGCUAGAGGCAGGCAGGGGCAAGUGGAAUUCCUGGUGUAGCGGUGAAAUGCGCAGAUAUCAGGAGGAACACCGGUGGCGAAGGCGGCUUGCUGGGCCUGUCCUGACGCUGAGGAGCGAAAGCGUGGGGAGCGAACAGGAUUAGAUACC
rnacentral:rRNA from 1 species